rnacentral:rRNA from 1 species
CCUACGGGAGGCAGCAGUGGGGAAUAUUGGGCAAUGGACGAAAGCCUGACCCAGCAACGCCGCGUGAAGGAUGACGGCUUUAUGGUUGUUAACUUCUUUUUACAUGGAAGUGCAGAACACUGUGCCUGUCGAAUAAUCCACGGCUAACUACGUGCCAGCAGCCGCGGUAAUACGGAGGUGGCAAGCGUUCUCCGGAUUUACUGGGUGUAAAGGGCGUGUAGGCGGGCGGACAAGUCAGAUGUGAAAUCCGGGGGCUCAACCGCCGAACUGCAGUUGAGACUGUGGGUCUUGAGUGCCGGAGAGGCAGGCGGAAUUCGUGGUGUAGCGGUGAAAUGCGUAGAUAUUAGGAGGAACACCAGUGGCGAAGGCAGCCUGCUGGACGGCAACUGACGGUGAGGCGCGAAAGCGUGGGGAGCAAACAGGAUUAGAUACCCUUGUAGUC